CGCGUGGUUCUAUUUUGUUGGUUUUUAGAACCGCCGUAAUGAUUAAUAGGGACAGUCGGGGGCAUCUGUAUUCAAUUGUCAGAGGUGAAAUUCUUGGAUCUAUUGAAGACAAACUACUGCGAAAGCAUUUGCCAAGGAUGUUUUCAUUGAUAAGGAACGAAAGUUAGGGGAUCGAAGACGAUCAGAUACCGUCGUAGUCUUAACUAUAAACUAUGCCGACUAGGGAUCGGACGAUGUUAUUUUUUGACUCGUUCGGCACCUUUCGAGAAAUCAAAGUGCUUGGGCUCCAGGGGGAGUAUGGUCGCAAGGCUGAAACUUAAAGAAAUUGACGGAAGGGCACCACCAGGGGUGGAACCUGCGGCUUAAUUUGACUCAACACGGGGAAACUCACCAGGUCCAGACACAGUGAGGAUUGACAGAUUGAUAGCUCUUUCUUGAUUCUGUGGGUGGUGGUGCAUGGCCGUUCUUAGUUGGUGGAGUGAUUUGUCUGCUUAAUUGCGAUAACGAACGAGACCUUAACCUGCUAAAUAGCCCGUUCUGCUCCGGCAGUACGCUGGCUUCUUAGAGGGACUAUCGGCUCAAGCCGAUGGAAGUUUGAGGCAAUAACAGGUCUGUGAUGCCCUUAGAUGUCCUGGGCCGCACGCGCGUUACACUGACAAAGCCAGCGAGUAUUUCCUUAGCCGGAAGGCUUGGGUAAUCUUGUUAAACUUUGUCGUGC
rnacentral:rRNA from 1 species